ensembl:lncRNA
AAUUUAGGUAACUCCAUCUUUACCAACGUGACAGUGAAAAGACAAGAAUUCAUCUAGUGCUGCCAUAUAACUUCCUAGCUGAUUGGUCAGCCUUGAAAAAGCAAACAGACAGGUAUGUGGUAGUUCUGGAUAAGUGAGAGUGUAUUCCAUGUGUUAGGUGUAACAGCAAAUUGAGAUAUUAACCACAAGGCUCUCUGCCUUCUGUGUUGUGGUCCUCGGGAGAUCACCAGUUCUGUAAUGCCGUUGAGAACUUAGGCAGAGAGGAGUUUAUUUUCAGUACCAAAUAUGCACUAGGCUGAGUGAGCAUCAAGUGUUACAGGCAGGUCUACCGUGCUUUGCUACUCUGAUUUCUCCAUGGGUGAUUAAUUUUUAGCUCAUGUUCAAAACAGGUUUCUGACUGGAGUGGCACAAAAGGGAAGAAAUAGAGAGAUGAGUGUACCCAUAUCUAUAUGAAGUUGCUACAACCAGAUUAUGGCAGAUACUCAAGCAACUUAAGAGAGAACUUAUGUUACCAGCUUCCUCUAAAACAGUGUACCUGUGAAAUUAAGAACAACCUGGUCAUGAAGGAAAUUGGGAUGGUGCAUUAUGUGUUACUGGGGCAAGGGAAGGAAACCUGUGGUGAUUCCUUCUGCAAUCAAACCCGGUUUCAGAAUAUACAGAAAAGAACUCAAUAAACCUUCUUGGACCAAGCUCCAGGACUCUUCAUUCAAAUAAUGCAGUCCACUACGGACUGAUACGGGCGAGGAGACAUGGAGGCUGUCAGCAUCACCUGGCACUGCACAGACAUCAGGAUGGUGGCAUCAGGAUGCUGUGACCUCUGGCUGAAGCUGGAAGAAAGCUGAUGUGAUGGAACACUGUCCUGGCAUAAGAAUAGCUGCCUCCAAAGCCUUCCAUUACUCUCUAUGUUCUCCUGAAGGGAAUGGUUUAAUACCAUGGGCAAAGAUUUUCUUACAGGUCUUCAAGUACCACAACAAAGCUGAUAUGAUAGAACACUGUCCUGGGCUCUCUACGUUCUCCUGAAGGGAAUGGUUUAAUACCAUGGGCAAAGAUUUUCUUACAGGUCUUCAAGUACCACAACUGUUUUUUUCUUUGCUCUUUUCUGAUGUAUAAGGAAAUGUCUUGAAAAGCGAGGUUUUCAAACUGUCUGGAGGAAAGCUCAUCUUUUUGCCAUCUGCUUAAGCCAUACCAAACACAGCCGGGGAUGUUGUUCCUGGUUGUGUUCCUGGAUGGCGUGCAGCAAGCAGGCACUACAGGUGUCAGGCAUCUGCACUUGCUGGAGGACUUCUUGGAGUUCUCUGAUGGGUACUGGGAUUGUCCUCUCACUGUAAGGUGAAGACCUGAAGUUAUUACAUUUUAAUCAAUGUCAAGUUUUCUUGGAGUGCUGUGAUUUUCUAUAAAAAAAUUAAAUAGAUCCUUGGUUGGGGCGAAUCCACUGCCUGUCUUGCAGCUAAGCUAGGUUUCUGCCAGCUGGGAAGCCAGCUUCAAGAACUUAAAGGAGCCUGCCUAGGAUUCACUCUCCUCUCCUUCAUCUUUUGAUGACAGGUUUUGACUCCUGUUUCCAUUCUGCAAAUAGCCAACAAGUCCUGGGCCAGGAAAAACUGGAAUUCCUGUGAUAGCUCAGAUGAGAUCAUAACUUAGAGCCAAGCUCUGCAGAUGUUUGGGGCUUUGAUUUGAAUAAUCCACUAACAGAUUUACU